AAAAAAAGCCGGAGGUAUCGCAUCCUUGGUGUCCCCUUGUCCGGUGACGCCUGCUGUUUUGCCUACUCCUAUAUUCUCGCCUUCGAGGGAGGUAUUGGGUGACAUGGCAAAGGAAGAAUGGGGUGUUGAUGGAUAUGGGUCCAUGAAGGGUCUGAUAAGACUGAGAUCACCUGGAAAUGAAGCGGAGGUUCAUGAUGAGGAAGAGGAAGAGGAGGGUAAUGGGUCAAGCGAGAGUGAUGUGGAAGAGCACGUGGAGGUGGAAAGGAGAUUGGACCAUGA
rnacentral:misc_RNA from 1 species